AACCUUUAGUUGGUUAAUGCGACAUCAACACGUCGUUGGUGGAGAUAAAACCAACGUACCAGGCUUAUUCCUGUGGAGUUAUAUAUGAGCGAUAAAAUUAUUCACCUGACUGAC
rnacentral:sRNA from 1 species